UUUUAGCACAUGAUAUGUGGGUGAAAUGAUGAUACCAUGCCAACUUUCAACCUUUUCAGAGUUCAUUUGUAGUGCUUUUCAAUUUUAGGGUCAUUUAGCUAAAAAAGUAAAUGCAUGAAAAAUACCAGAUGAAGUCUGAAAGGGUUUAAAAUUGAUGAUGUGGCUCUGAAUGAUGCAUUUUGAACACAUAAAAAGUCUGGAGUUAAAAUAAGUUCAAAAAAAGAAUCCCUUUGUAACAGAUGAGUUUUCGUCUGAAACCCUGAUACUUCGAAAGAGAUUGUGCAUUUUGUACACGAAGCGCAUCCAGCUUUUGUCGUAAUCCUCUCAACUUUUUAGCACAUGUUAUGUGGGUUAAAUGAUGAUACCAUACCAACUUUCAACAUUUUUAGAGUUCAUUUGUAUGCUUUUCAAUUUCAGGGUCAUUUAGCUAAAAAAAUCAGUAAUGCAUGAAAAAUACCAAAUGAAGUCAGAAAGGGUUGAAAAUUGAUGAUGUGGCUUUGAAUGGUGCAUUUUGAAGACACAAAAAGUCUAAAGUUAAAAUAAGUCCAAAAAGAUGAAAUCUCUAUGUAACAGAUGAGUUUUCGUCCAAAACUUUGAUACUUCGAAAGACAUUUAGAUAUUUGCAUGACACUAAAUAUAUAAAUACAUUAUAAUACACUAAGUACCACGCCUUAAUUUAUCAGUGAACGUAUUCUGACAGAUUUGUGAACAUUUAGGAUAUUUGUUCAAUGUCCCAAACUAAAAUAAUCAUUUAGAAAUAGGUCUUCGGUUUAGCACAAAAAAUAACAUAUUUAAUGAUAAUGAUUUUUAUUAUUUUGUACUUGCAAAAAUCUCGAUGCUCACAUUUAACACUUUUUAGCAUUGACAUACAAAUAUAGCAAAUUGGAAAAUAUAAACACAAAUUUAGAAAUAUAUCAUACUAAAAAGUGUACUAGUAAUCAAAUAACAUAUAAUUUGCCGCAGAUUAAGUAAGUUAUAAAAGUAAUAUAGUUUACUAUAAACAAUUGUUAAUUUUGUAAUGUUAUUGAUCUCUUAUUUUAUCUAGAACUAUGUACUUGACAGAUGACUGAAUUUCAAUUAGUUUUCAUUCAACUUUUAUGAGCUAAUAACAAAUCAAAAAAGUAUGUAUUUGUUUUACCAUGUAUAUCAAUGUUUCAACUAUAUAGACGUCAAAAUUUAUCAAAAGAAUACUUAACAGAUUAUAAACCUAGUCUUCCUAACAGUGUAACUCGAUUUUGUUAAAAUUGAAAAGAUUGAGAUAUGUGCUUAAAACUUGGAGCACGGGCCUUUCUCGUUUAAAAUUCUCAUUCAAAACUAAUAGUGUGUUAUUAAUGGACCGGAUAAUAUUGAGAACCUUAGGGCCCUAUUAAUCUUCCAGCAAAUUUUAGAAAAAAUCACAAACAACAUGUCUUGAAACUGUUUGAUUAUCAAAAGCAGUACAAGAAGAAAAGAUGCAAUGCCAGGUUCAUUCGACUCGGGAAAGAGAAUACUGAAAUAGUUUCAUUGCAAACUUAGCACUGCCUGAUGGUGCAAAAAUUAAUGAUCAUGCUCACAAAGAAGGAAUUCUCCAGAAUGAUUUUAAAGAUAAACUUGGAACCUCAUCUCCUCUAAACCAAAAAAUUGAUCUCAAGUCUAUUAUACACCGAAUUGAUGGUCAUGAAAGUUUAUUUGUCCCAUUCACCAGCAAUGAAAUUGACGAGGUAGUCAAAACAAUGUCGUCAGACAGGGCACUAGGCCCUCAUGAUUUCUUGAGUCUCUUCAUUAAAAUGUGUUGGCACAUAAUUAAAGAGGAGAUGUACCGGGUUUGUCAUAAUUUCUACGAUGACACUCAUAAUAUCGAAAGCAUUAAUAUCGGAUAUAUUACUCUUAUCCCAAAAGUCAGACCCCCCCCCCACGUUCCAAACAUGCUUGGACCAGACCCACAUUCAUGUAUGUGUUCAUAGUUGCAGCAUGGUCUAUAUGGAAAGAAAUAAAUUCAUUCUCAAAANNNNNNNNNNNNNNNNNNNNNNNNNNNNNNNNNNNNNNNNNNNNNNNNNNNNNNNNNNNNNNNNNNNNNNNNNNNNNNNNNNNNNNNNNNNNNNNNNNNNNNNNNNNNNNNNNNNNNNNNNNNNNNNNNNNNNNNNNNNNNNNNNNNNNNNNNNNNNNNNNNNNNNNNNNNNNNNNNNNNNNNNNNNNNNNNNNNNNNNNNNNNNNNNNNNNNGGGUUGGCAGAUUCAAAAAGGACUUUGAGCUACUUAAGUAUAGAGUCAGACUUGACCUGGAGAAAUAUAGGUCCUCCUUAGCCCAAUAAACAACCUAGUGUAAAACAUAUGUAUUCUGCCACCCUUGGGAUGGGCCAAAGUCCCUGCCACUUGUAAUUUGAUGUAAACUGCAGCAUACACUUUUAUCUUCUCUAAUAUAUAAGACUGUAGGGUAUUCUCUUACAGUCACUUACAGCUCAAAAUAAUAUAUUUCUUGACGGGUAGACUUGACUCUGGUUGACUACGGUCUAUACAAGUGCAACCGAAGUGUCCUAAAAUGUUUCUGGUUUGUACCCAGAAAGGUCAUCUAAGAAAACCAAACAUACAUAGGACAACAAGUCUUAGGCCUACAUUGACAACACAAAAAUGAGUAAUAAAAAUUCUGAGGAUGAUAGCUCAAAUUGUUUGAAAUGAAAAUCAACAAAAACAAUAUUAAUUAUGUUAAACAGAAGCACAAAAAAUGAUGAUCAAUUACUGCAUGAAAUUUCAGAAGUACCAAAUGUUUAAAAAAUAUGUUCACUGGCAGCAUAAAACACAACAACAACAACUUUUUUUCACUUACUAACCUUAUAAUGAGAAAGGAGCAAAAACUACACAAGACAAUUACAAAAAAUCCUUAGAAACCUAGGUGCAAACAUUUUCUAUUUAACAAAAAAGUAAAACUUGAGAACGCAAAAGGGCAAAGUACAAUCACAAUAAAAAAUAAAAAAUGCAAAGGAAUUAAGAAGUGAGAACACCACCACCACGGUAUAAGAACAAAGAAAUACAAUUCGUUGUAAUCUUUGAAACUAUAGGUUAGGAUAAUUACCAAUGAAGGUUAUUGAAAAUCAGUAAAUGAAUAUCAACACGCGAUCCAGCUAUUGAAAAAACCGAAUGAAGCCCAAAGGAGUUUGGUUGACUAUGAAUUAGCAAUUCGGUACUUAUUUUGCUACAAUAAUUCAAAUCCAUUAUAUUGGUUUAUCAGAAGUACAAUGCACUGAAACAUAUUAAUAAUUACAUCGAAGUAUAUGGACCAUCAAACUACCAUUGGCACCGCCAGAAUGAGCCGCCAACGCGUUAGUUUGACCAUAAAUUUUUUAAUAAAUAAAAGGUGCUAUAUCACAAAAAUUUAUACCAUGAGAAAUCCCUUCCAAAUAAAAAUUCAAUAGUAUCUUUUUGUGGCAUACAUUUAUAUUUUGGUAGUCAUAUUGAUGGUCCAAGUUUGCCAAACUCGAACGGAGGAACUGGUUGUCUGUAAAAGCAACUAAAUCAAAAAUUAGUGUAGGGACCUUGUUUCAAAAAGAGUAUGGCAUUUCACAUCAAGUCCAUGCUGAUUCCGCAUUUCGCAUCAACAGUAAAUUUGAUUAAAAAAGUAUGAAAUCUGAAAUUUCUUGGCAUGAAAAAUUCUUGAGUGUUCUAGGGGGGUGCAAUAUUUCUUCGAGAAACUUGACAUCCGAAGAGCUCUGGAAAAAAAAGUGGACCAAAAUGUCUAUUUUUGAAGCUUUCUUGGAGAGUCGAUGUUGUUUGUUUUGUCUAGAGCUCCUGAGAUGUCAUUUCCCUAUGAAAUUUUGGACCGACCUGCAACAACAUCUAAGCAUCCUUGUUUUAAAAAUAAAUUAUUUGAUUCUCUUUAGAAAACAAAAAUAUUAUUUUAGGGGUUAAACCAAGCUUUAUUAAAAAAAAUUGAUAUGCUCUCCUCGUAGCAGCCCACCACCGUUCCCUUCUCUGGGCUUCCGUACGUGGACUUGAUGUCUGAGCAACAGGCCCAUCCCAUCCAGCGGCCCAUUUGGGGUACGAGGCCCCCCAGUUUUUUUACGUUCCUUUUCGGUUUUCAUUUUUUUCUUUUUAAUUUUCUGAAAUUGCGAAAAUCUUCUAAAUUCGUGAACAUGUUUUAAAAUUUGAACUUUUUCGAAAUCAUGAAUAAUUUUCAAAUUCAUGAAUAUUUUCUGAAAAUCACGAAAAUAUUUUUUACAAGUUAAUAAAAUAAGUAAAUCAUGAAAAUUUUAUGAAAUUCAUAAAAAAUUUGAUAUAGUGAAAAACAAUCAAAUUCGUGAACAUUCCUUCAACUGUGAACAUUUUUUGAAUCAGCAAAAGUUUUUUUGAAAUCAUGGACAUUUUUAAUUUGAUGAACAAUUUUAAAAUUCAUGAAGGAUUUUUUGAAAUAGUGAACAAUUUUAAAAUUAGUGGACAUUCUUUCAACCGUGAACAUUUUUUGUGCAUUUUCAAAAGUUUUUUUAAACCAUGAACAUUUUUCAAAUUUGAUGAACACAUCUUAAAUUCAUGAACACUUUUUAAUUUGAGAAAAUGUUUUUGAAAUCGUGAACAUUUUUAUAUUCGUUCAAUUUUAUGAUAUUCUGAAUUUCUUUGUUAAAAGUGCACAUUUUUAAAAUUUUGGAACUUUUUUAAUCGCGAAUUAUUCAGAUAGAAAACCUAAAACCUGAAAGAGAAAAGAAAAACGAAAAAAAUAGAGCGCUCGGGCAUGGGCCAGUCGGGGAGCGGACGGGUGCGCGCUACCGCUCCUCCCAGCACCCGACGCGCCAUAUAGGAGGUCUCUGCUAGCAUGACCGCUGUGAGACAUCCAGGAUUAUCUCUAAAAAUAGACAAUCAAGUGAUACAGUAUUUAUUUGAUUUACUGAGAAGCAAAACCCACCAGGUGCUGAACAGACACGACAGGACAAAAUCUCAUAUGAAAUGCUUGUCUCAACAAAUACUAGAUCCCAAGGAUCAUCUUUUGUCUCUUUUCUUUCCAUACAACCGAUUCCCAUGGUAUAUCGUUGCGAUGACCCGACAGCCCAACGCAACUCUCAUUCAUAAGCACGCUGGAUAUCUAACUAAAUGCCAUGACAACAGAUAGCAGCGCCGAUGUUGCACAUCUCACAGAUUCACAGAAUGACUAUUCUCGCAAAAAGGAAAAUAAUGAAUGCUCUAAAGAUAGUUCAGGGGAAAAGAGAAUACUCUGAAGAUAAACACCUGCCGAUCAGUGUAAUCCCUUGUGCACUUCAGAGUAGUCUUCAUCUUCAGAGUGAAGUGCACUUGCCUUAGCCAACUAGAAGUGUUCACUGCAGUGUAAAUGAUGAGGUUUACGCAGCCAGUGUAAUAAUCCCUUGUGUACUUAAACACUACUGGCGGGGAGAGUUAGCGUCGCCCACUAUGUAAAUGCAUGCAACUCUGCAUUUUGUCUCAAAAGAACGCAUGCCAGUUAUUUCAAAUAAAGAACAAUGCAACUGUUAAAAUUUGACUGUAAAAUGUAAAUUCAUCCAACCAUAUCACACCCAGAGCAGCACAUGAGACGCUAACCAUGAUUUCACUAGACAAGCACAUCAAGGCUCAUACGAUUUCUAAUUGACAGGAAUUUAAAGUAAUACAUGCCCCUGGAGCGUCCUCGCUACAUUCAGGCUAACGGUGCGUCAUGUCUCUCUCAACUCCAGCACUGAGAUGGUUCCUUCAGGGGGCUACCUAAACAGCACAUCUAAGGACGGGUGCUAGCAAGCGAUGGCGGCACUCGGUUACAGACUCAGUCGACGAACGCUGACUUGUAGUGGGGCACCCGGUUACAGGCUUAGUCGACGAACGCUGACUU
rnacentral:lncRNA from 1 species